GAAAAGGGAAAAAGAAGAACUGUGUUAUUCAGUACGCACUAAACCAGACUGGGCUGGGCGUCUCCGGCAAUCUGCUCUUAGGACUCAAAGACAGAAACCUCACCCUUUUAUGUAGCCAGGCCGAUACAGUGCACGUUUUCACGUAAGAGGACUUCCAACAACACCGUUUGCUAUACCACCUUUGUUUCAGCACUGCAGCCCUGAUGGCCAACUCUGCCAGGAUUCAGAUCCUUAAAGGUCAGCUCUAUACAAUGACCAGCUCAGAGGAAGGAGCCAGACCAACAGUGUCUCACACUUUUUUUCUGGACAGAUGACUCCAUAAUGACAGCUCCAUAAUGGAGGCUGGUGAGGCCAGGGUGUCCAUGAGAGUAGUUCUCCUGCUGCUGUGGCUUCGAGUGUCUCUAUCCCCUUCUGGCCUCUCCCAGGCUAGGCUCUCCCAAUGCCUCAGCUCCCCAGAAGUGGUGGUCCCCCUGAAGGUGCCCAGCAGGGGCAGAGAUGCUAAGGCUCCGGGCUGGCUCUCCUACAGCCUUCAGUUUGGGGGCCAAAGACACAUUGUCAACAUGAGGGUCAAGAAGCUCUUGGCUUCCAGACACCUACCAGUGUUCACCUACACGGACCAGCAUGUCCUCCAGGAGGAUCAGCCUUUUGUUCCUGAUGACUGCUACUAUCAUGGUUAUGUGCAGGGUGUCCCCGAGUCCCUGGUUGCCCUCAGUACCUGUUCUGGAGGCUUUCGAGGAAUGCUACAGAUAAAUGACCUUGCUUAUGAAAUCGAGCCAAUAAGGCACUCUGCUACAUUUGAACACCUGGUGUAUAAGAUAAACACUAAUGAGACACACUUCCCACCUAUUCGAUGUGGCUUAACAAAGAAGAAUAUAGCACACCAACAACUGGGAUUUGAAGAGGCUGAGAAAACAACUCUGAAACAAAAUUCUGAUAACUGGUGGACCCACUCAUGGUUUCUGGAGCUGGCUGUGGUGGUAGAUCGAAAUUUCUUUAUUUAUUCCCAAGGUAACUUCUCAAAGGUGCAGGAGGAUAUAUUUCUUGUUAUCAACAUAGUGGACUCCAUUUAUCAGCAGUUGGGUACUUAUGUGAUUUUGGCUGGGAUUGAGAUUUGGAAUCAUGAAAAUGUUUUCCCAAUGACAAGCAUAGAACAAGUUCUGGAGGAUUUUGCUCAGUGGAAACAAAUCAGUCUUUUGCGGCUACAGUAUGAUGCUGCACAUAUUUUCAUUAAAAAUUCACUUAUACGUACACUUGGUAUAGCCUAUGUUGCAGGAAUAUGUCGUCCUCCUAUUGACUGUGGAGUUAAUAAUUUCCAAGGAGACCCCUGGUCUCUUUUUGCCCUCACCGUGGCCCAUGAGUUAGGCCAUACUUUGGGCAUGCAGCAUGAUGAAGAAUUCUGUUUGUGUGGGCAAAGUGGUUGCAUCAUGAAUGCUAUCAGAGUGCCAGCAGAGAGAUUCACCAACUGUAGUUAUGCAGAUUUUAUGAAGACCACUUUAAACCAGGGAUCAUGUCUGCACAAUCCUCCAAGUCCAGGGGAAGUCCUUAUGCUGAAGCGCUGUGGGAAUGAUGUAGUUGAAGGAGAAGAGGAAUGUGACUGUGGAUCUACAAAGCAGUGUGAACAUCACCCCUGUUGUCUGCUGAACUGCACUCUGAGGCCUGGUGCUGCUUGUGCUUUUGGGCUGUGUUGCAAAGACUGCAAGUUCAUGCCAUCAGGGACUUUGUGCAGACAACAGAUGGGUGAAUGUGACCUUCCAGAGUGGUGCAAUGGGACAUUCCAUCAGUGCCCAGAAGAUGUAUAUGUGCAGGAUGGGAUUCCCUGUAGUGACGGUGCCUACUGCUAUCAGAAGAGAUGUAGUGGCCAUGACAAACAGUGCAGGGAGAUUUUUGGUGAAGGCGCAAAGAGUGCGUCUCAGAAUUGCUAUAAAGAAAUCAACUCCCAGGGAAACCGUUUUGGCCACUGUGGUCUAACUGGCACGGCAUACCUCAAAUGUAAUACCGCAGACAUCCUCUGUGGGAGAGUUCAGUGUGAGAAUGUGGGAGACAUUCCCCACCUAAGAGAUCACUCUACUUUGCAGCACACUCACAUCAAUGAUGCCACCUGCUGGGGUAUCAGUUAUCAUUUAGGGAUGGACACACCUGACAUGGGUGAAGUGAAAGAUGGCACCGUGUGUGGUUCAAGAAAGAUAUGCAUACACAAGAAGUGUGUCAGUCUCCCUCUCCUGUCACAAGUCUGCCUGCCUGAGACCUGCAACAUGAAGGGAAUCUGCAAUAAUAAACAUCACUGCCACUGUGGCUAUGGGUGGUCCCCGCCCUACUGCCUGUUCAGAGGCUAUGGAGGUAGUGUUGACAGUGGCCCAGCAUCUGCCAGAAAAGGAGUUUUCUUUCCACUAGUUAUGAUUCUUAGUGUGUCUCUUUUACUUCUACUGUUGACUACUGUAUUUAUGUAUAUUCAAAAACAUUUUGGUCCCAAGGAGACGAAGGCUCAUCCUUCAGAUUAAGAAAAUGCCUCUAAUUUAAUAUCUUAUGCAUUAUAAAGAUUUAGUUUCUUGGAGUAGAAAUGUUACAUGCCUGAAGCACAUUUCUAAGUUUACAGAAAAAUGAAGAGACCUUCCUUUCAGUCAAUAUCAGAAACAUUGCCAUCAAGGAAAGAGUACACAUAUGACUCACAGGAAAGCCAGGAGACCGACAUCUGAAGACCCAUGGAGGUUAAACAUCCUACCUUUAGAAAGGCAUCUCCUUGUGAAAUGUUAUGUGUGUACUUGUGUGCUUCUGUCACUCUGUGGCCGUCCCUUUGAGGCGCUCUAGGAGCAGACCAGGAGAAAGCCUGACAGUGCACCAGCCGGGACAGAAAGAGGAGCAGCACAUCUCGUGGAGCCACAGAACCAGGGAUGCAUGAACCAAGAAUACAGUCUGAUUAAACUUGGAGGAAGAUCUACAUGUGUUAAGUAUAUAUGGCCAUUUGGAGACAAAUAGCAGCUGUUCCAAUUUACUGAUUGUCUUUUGAAGUUUUUUUUUGUUAAAAAGAAAAGUUAAAUUUGAUGAUAGUCAAAUUUAUCAACCUAAUAUAUUUACUGAGUUUUAUAUCUAUAUAUUUUUAUAAUUUUGUAGAAUUAACCUCCUACUACAAACAUAAAGUCUUACGUACUAUCUUCUUUGGAUUCCCAAAAAAGUAGAUGAUAAGACCAGGAUUUAGGUGGGGUUAGUUUAUUUGGAAGCACACAAAAAAGCAUGUUACUGAGCAAGUUCCCACUGUGGGCUACUGGGGCUAUCUCACAGAAGAAGUCAUGUGAAAUACACCUCGGAAUAUUAUUCCAUGGUGCAGGAGAAAGCUGUCAGGAAAAGAAGUGAGGUACAACACUUAAAGCAGGAAACUGUCAGAGAUGGAUAUUGUUUACUGUAGCUGCCAGUGAACACUGGUGGGACAAGGGGAUGUAGGGUGGGGCCAUCAGCAUCUGCUGUAUCCAGGUUCCCUAGAAAACAGAUGCUAAGGCAAGGAUUAAAUGCAAAUCUAUCUUCUGUUAUACUGGUGACAAUUCCUAAAUACACUAAUGCCUUUCUACUUUACAGGAGUGUGCUUGGCCCAUUCAGGAGCAGGCCGGAAGCAACUGUUAACCAAUGAGAGAUGUUUUGUGACUAUGUCUCACAGCUCCCCCAGUCCUCAUGGGAUAAUUGUGAGGUGUCUAACAGUGCCUCUCAGACAGGCCACAGUAGAAUUGUGUCCUGGUUGCUCAAAUGGUCACACUCACCCAUUAAUAUAUGCUUGAAUUGCUUUUAACCCUUUCCUGUCUUAGUUUCCCACUCCUUCACCAUGCACUCACAUUUUGGGACAGUAUCCCAGAUAAACUGCUCACACUCAAAUUCUUAUCUCAGAGUCAAGGACAGUUGGUACCAGAAGUGUUCCUUAAAAGGCAGAUCCAUAGGAUGUGAGAUUCUAGAAUUGGACGGUUACUUGUCAGAAGGCUACUAGGACCCAUAGUUAUAGCCAGUGGAUUUGUGACAACUGGUGUGCUGCAACAUCAGAAACUAAGACUCUUACUUGUGGUGUGUUAAGAUAAGGUACAGAUGGAAGGGGUGCCCUCGCUUAUACAAUAGCUUUCAUGUUUGAAUUAGAAAUAUGAGAAUUGGGAAGUUAGUUAACUGAUGAAGAAGCCAUGAAUAAAGAAAAAGACAGGCUCAGGCCAAAUAAGUUGGGCAUGGUACAAAAGUCCUAAGACCUCUAUGAGGAGAAUCUCAUUCUAUAGACUGUGUUGAAAAUAAUACCCAAGGUUUGUCAUAAAUAUGCAGAUUUAUAAAGAUUACUGAAUUUAGAGCUCUGGUAUGUUUCCUGUGUAAAAAUCAGAGGUCCUAUUAAGGAAGAAAUGCUAUCCUGAGAUUCAGGAUGAGGACAUUUGAGUGGAUGCACUUGAAAAUUUGAAUCCUGAGAUUCUUAUGAACUCCCUAGGCCAACAGAACUCACUCCUUACCCUUUGCUAGAAGAGAACAGCCUCUCAUUGCCUGGAUACCAUGUUUCACCAAAGAUUAUACUAAUCUUCCUAAAGAUCUGUCCUUAACUUUCUCUCAUUGCAUCUAGACCAGUAACUAGGGUCAGUACAGUUCUUAGGAUAAGAGGAAGUAGAUCACUGGUCAAGAGAGCUCCGGGAGCUGGCUAAUAUAUGCCAUCAGAAGCCAGGAAUAUAUAGAAACAGAUCCUGAGGAU